UUCUAGCUUUCCCGACGGUUGUCAGACACACUAGUCGAACGCAAUUGAGACACAAGGACACACACAAACUGGGCGUUAUUUGUAUGGAAUGUGGCUUACAAAGCUCUUGGCCAGACAACGCACAAGGCAAUACACUCGGCACAAGCUUCAAUAAAAUCACGGCUUUAACGAACGCACAAUACAAUGCAGCUGCCACAAGAAGUAUCACCGUUCCCAGACCGAUGGCCUGAUGAUAGUUGGGGAAAGUUUUGCCACAAGCUUUUUUCGCAAUAAAAUAUCGCACUGGCCCCCUUCGUAGCUAUGAUGGCAGGUGCUAUUCUUCACAGGAAUCACUUUCUAUGCACAAAAGAUCGACUAUAAAAAUAAAUUUGAUUUUACUGUCUUUUAA